rnacentral:rRNA from 1 species
AAGGCCUGCCCAGUGAUUGCUUUUUACGGCCGCGGUACCCUGACCGUGCAAAGGUAGCAUAAUCAUUUGCCUUUUAAUUGAAGGCUGGUAUGAACGGUUUGACGAGAGUAAAGCUGUCUCACAUAUACUUAAUAGAAAUUAAUUUAAAGGUGCAAAAGCCUUUAUUACCCAAAAAGACGAGAAGACCCUGUUGAGCUUUAAUUUAGCCCAAGUAUUAACUAUAUAUUAAUAUAAUUCACUUACUCGGUAAAAAUUUUAAUUGGGGCGAUUAAGGAACACACAAAAGCUUCCUGAUUAUUCAGUAAAAUAUUCAAUAGAUUAAAUCGAUCCAGCAAUGCUGAUCAACAAAAUGAGUUACCACAGGGAUAACAGCAUAAUUCUUUUUGAGAGCUCAUAUCGAAAAAAGAGAUUGUGACCUCGAUGUUGGACUAGGGUAACCGGAAGGUGCAGCCGCUUUCCUGCUUGGUCUGUUCGACCAAUAAUUCCCUACA